rnacentral:rRNA from 1 species
UACGUAGGGGGGCAAGCGUUGUCCGGAUUUAUUGGGCGUAAAGAGCGUGUAGGCGGCCAGGUAGGUCCGCUGUGAAAACUCGAGGCUCAACCUCGAGAUGUCGGCGGAAACCAUCUGGCUAGAGUCCGGAAGAGGAGAGUGGAAUUCCUGGUGUAGCGGUGAAAUGCGCAGAUAUCAGGAAGAACACCCGUGGCGAAGGGCGGCUCUCUGGGGACGGUACUGACGCUGAGACGCGAAAGCGUGGGGAGCGAACAGG